rnacentral:rRNA from 1 species
AGGACGAACGCUGGCGGCGUGCUUAACACAUGCAAGUGGAGCGACGAACCGGGGCUUGCCCCGGGGCAGAGCCGCGAACGGGUGAGUAACACGCGGGUAACCCACCCCGAUGACCGGGACAACCCGAGGAAACUCGGGCUAAUACCGGAUGUGCUCCUUGACCUUGAGGUCAAGGCGUAAAGAUAGCUUCGGCCUUCGCAUCGGGACGGGCCCGCGGCCCAUUAGCUUGUUGGUGGGGUAAAGGCCUACCAAGGCGACGAUGGGUAGCUGGUCUGAGAGGACGAUCAGCCACACUGGGACUGAGACACGGCCCAGACUCCUACGGGAGGCAGCAGUGGGAAUCUUGCGCAAUGCGCGAAAGCGUGACGCAGCAACGCCGCGUGGGGGAAGACGGCCUUCGGGUUGUAAACCCUUUCAGUUGGACGAAGCUCGCGGUGAAUAGCCGCUGGAGUGACGGUACCUUCACAAGAAACGCCCCGGACUAACCUACGUGACCAACACGCCGC